rnacentral:rRNA from 1 species
GACGAACGCUGGCGGCGUGCUUAACACAUGCAAGUCGAACGGACAGGCCCUGCUUUUGUGGGGUGCUCGAGUGGCGAACGGGUGAGUAACCCGUGAGUAACCUGCCCUUGACUUUGGGAUAACUUAAUGCAACUGGGGCUAAUCCCGGAUAGGAGCUACUGCUGCAUGGUGGGGGUUGGACAGUUUCGGCGGUUGGGGAUGGACUCGCGGCUUAGCAGCUUGUUGGUGGGGUAGUGGUUGACCAUGGCCUGGCCGGGUAGCCGGCCUGGGAGGGGGACCGGCCACAGUGGGACUGAGAUACGGACCAGACUCCUACGGGAGGCAGCAGUGGGGAAUAGUGCACAAGGGGCGGAAGCCUGAUGCAGCAACGGCGAGUGCGGGAUGACGGCCUUGGGGUUGGAAACCGCUUUCGCCUGUGACGAAGCGGGAGUGACGGUAAUGGGUAAAGAAGCACCGGCUAACUACGUG